GUUAUCCUUUUACAAUAACGAGACUGACAGCCAAUUUGUGAGUUUAGGGUGGGAGCAAGAAGUGCUUACAGCAUAGUGGAUGGGUCUAUGUGUGGGUCUAUUUGUAUAAGGUUUAGAGCAGACUCUUAAACCAGAGCUCUUUGCCUGGGCUCAUCUCCUACACAAACUUCUGAGAUGCUCACGUGUGUGUGCUACUGAGGUUAACAUAUAUGAGAAGCUCAUCUCACAGAAGGAACAUCCAAAAAGAGGAAGCAAACCUGUUUCCUCAGAAUUCGCCCUGGAACUGACUGGAAGAAUGUGAUAGUCCUGGUGACCCAUAACAGAGACCUCCUUGGAUAGCUGUGGGAUGCCUGCAAAGGGCUUGGGAAAGGAACAGGAACUCAGAAGCCAUAGCAUGCUUGGGGCUUCCCCAGUGGGAACUGGCAGGAGACAAACUGGAGGGACCUCUGCGUGCAGGCCUCACCAUGAGGCUCUUGUCACUGGAGGUGACUCCUCAGAGCCCACCCUUCAGGGAGUGGCACUCCUACUUUCCAUCCUACAAUGGCAGCAGUGCUGUAAAGGGCAGUGGAUGGACCUGGGCAUGCUGAAGUAUUGUCACAGAAAAUAAAUUAUUUCUCUCCAUUCACAUUGAUAGAUUCUGUUUUGGGAAUGUUCAACAGAGGCACUGUGCUGGUGAUACAGCCGCCCCCGAUCUCUCCCCAGGUUGUGCAGAAUUAGCAUAAGUACUUUGCGCACACAGCUGCAGCUUUCAGUGUGCGGGAGCCUCUGCAGCAGCUCCGCUUCCCCGAGAGGGGACUUUGCCAGAGGAAUGGCACUGGCAUGGAUUCAGCAGCCACACACCCACCCUCGCUUCCUACGCACACUUUUGUACUGUCACCAUGGAUCAGCGUUGGAGCACAGCUUCACAGGUCAGAGGCUGCUUAGACUGCUGAACAUGCUGCCUAAGUGCUGUUCUCUCGCUGUCCCCUGCUAGAAGAACCUGUUUCCUUGGGCAAAAUGUAAGCCAUAUGGGAUAAUGCUUUUGAAAGCUUGGAAGUCAGAUCCUUUUAAUUUUUUCCUUUACGAACUUAAUUUAUGCACAUAUGAAAGUAAAGCUUGUUUU